rnacentral:rRNA from 1 species
UACAGAGGUGGCAAGCGUUGUUCGGAAUUACUGGGCGUAAAGGGUGCGUAGGCGGUCGUGCAAGUCGGAUGUGAAAUCUCAGGGCUCAACCCUGAAACUGCAUUCGAUACUGCGUGGCUAGAGUGCUGGAGAGGAGACUGGAAUUUACGGUGUAGCAGUGAAAUGCGUAGAUAUCGUAAGGAAGACCAGUGGCGAAGGCGAGUCUCUGGACAGCAACUGACGCUGAGGCACGAAGGCCAGGGGAGCAAACGGG